rnacentral:rRNA from 2 species
UACGUAGGGGGCGAGCGUUGUCCGGAUUCAUUGGGCGUAAAGAGCUCGUAGGCGGCUUGGUAAGUCAAAUGUGAAACCUCCAGGCUCAACUUGGAGAUGCCACUUGAUACUGCCAUGGCUAGAGUCCGGUAGGGGAUCACGGAAUUCCUGGUGUAGCGGUGAAAUGCGCAGAUAUCAGGAGGAACACCGGUGGCGAAGGCGGUGGUCUGGGCCGGUACUGACGCUGAGGAGCGAAAGCGUGGGGAGCGAACAGG